rnacentral:rRNA from 1 species
AUGAAAUCUCCAGAAUUGCACAUAAGAUGCACUUCCCAGCUAUCCAUAUCAUACGACAGAUUCACCUCCUUCCAUAAAAGGAGGAUACUCCCUGGUAUCCCCCAACUCAUGGUUGUUCCGAGUCCAUCGCCCAGUUUCGGACGAGUAUAUCGCCACAUCGUUGUACAACUCUACCAUGGGUGUAAACACCACAAAGCGGAACGGAACGGCCGCGUAAAAAAAGGCCAGGAAGGGCUGUGCCAGUUUGACAUGCACAGGUUCAUCAUCCUCUUCAUCCUGCCAUACCAUAGGAGGCAACACGCAUUUGCAGAUGAGAAGGCUGUUGCUGCAUUGUUUGAGCUUAACCCUAGCGUAGCCCCCGCGAAGGAAAGGGAGCGAAGCGUCGACCAGAGAGGCGGCUCCCCUGGACAGGUAUGUAGCACCUGCCAGAAUGGCGCUACAACACAACGCAUAGCGCCUAGCGUUGGGCCCUACCUGAAGGGAGCAAAAGGGAAAGUCUUCAAGCUAGUCAUACAUUUCUCUUUCAACGAUCGAGGCACCGAGCCCCUGAGCCGAGCAACCCCCUCCCCUCAUUCCAUUCCCCCUCCCCGCUCGAUUCCUUCUGGCUCUCCUCACAAACAGAGGCAGCACCUCCUCCUCUCUUCUAUCCCUAACCCUGACCCUAAGGCGACGACGCCGUUGCCCGCGGCCUCUCCCUUCAUCGACGGCGCCAUCUCAUCCGAGUCCGAGCUGGAGGAGCACGUGUACGUCGGGGAGGCAGCAAGGCCAGCACGCCGUCGGUCCGUCCUUCCCUGGUUCCUCACCGAGCGCCAUGAAGAGGAAGAGAUAACGGUGAAGGAGAAGGGGAAUGAGAAGGGAAAGGGUGCCGGUAAGCAGAAUGUGAAGGCGAAGGCAAAGGAGAAGAUCGUGAAUUACCUAAUUAGGCAAGAUUCGGCGCUGCCUCCGCCGGUUCUGAGGAAUAAGAGGAAGCCUAAGGUGCAGAAUGGGAAGGCGAAAGACUUUCCCAAUGCCCCAACGGGAGAGUUGAUUUGUAGGUUAAAAAAACACCCUCCACCUCCUCCGCGCCUCCCCGACCGCACUGGUGCCGGCGUGCGUGCCGCGGAAGCCGCUGCCGCUGGCUCCGCAACCUGCUCCGAGCUGCCUCAUGCAUCUACUAUUGUGGUAGAUGACGAGGAGAAGGAGGACGACGAGGACGAGGAUGAGGACGUGGACAUGAAUGAGGACAAGGACAAGGACGAUGAGGAAUAUGAGGAGCAAAAUCUUUUUAUAGUCCCGCCACAAGUGAGUUCUGAUAUGUCGGAUGAUGAUACAUCAGAAGGGUAUAAGGAAUCAGCUGAUGAACUAGAAGGUGACACUAUGUCCGAGGAAUCACUCGUGCAUGUUGUCUCUAGUGAGGAGGAGGCAAGAGAAAGGAAAAAGAACAAGAACAAGAGGCCAAGAGCCAAUGCACCUGUUAGGAUGUCAUCGGAUAUUUGGGCCCAUUUUCACAAGGUCAAAGAGCCAGGAGCAUCCCGGAGAGAUGGUGUUGAAGGCUGCUUAAUGGUUGGACAUGAGUGGUUCAACAUUCUAAUGAAGUGCAUGAAUCCAAAUUAUAAACCCAUUGAAAGGAAGGCAAUACGAGCCGAGUGCAUGAGGGUUUACAAGAACAUGGGAAUUGGAACUUACAAACCCGUGUGCUUGCUUUCAUGGAGUUGGAUCCUCCUCACUCUGGAAAUGUCAUUGCGGAUGCUCUCUAUGCAUGUUGACAGAAAGAAUAUUGAGAACAAAAUUAUGUCUAUCACACUUGACAACCCUUCAAACAAUGAUGGUACGAUCGAUGCUUUGAAGGCCAAGUUCUUGUUUCAGAGAGGUAAGGACUUCGAAGGCCAAUAUUUUCAUAUUCGUUGUUGUGCACACAUCCUCAACUUGGUCGUGCAAGAUGGGACAGAGAUCUUAGAUAAUUUGAUAAACAGCUUAAGAGAGAUGGUGAAGUACUUCAAUAGGUCACCUUCUCGUCUCCAUGCUUUUGUUGCCACUUGCAAAAGCUUGGGUGUCAAAGUUGGUAAUCAUUUACACCUGGAUUGUAAAACAAGGUGGAGUUCAACCUAUAAGAUGAUUAGCACUGUCUGUGGAUAUAAGGAAGCCUUGACCUCUCAUGUUGGUUCCAAUGCCAACUAUGCUUGGGCGCCGACAAAUUUAGAGUGGGACAUGUAUGAGCUUAUCUCUCCAUUAAUUGAGAGUUUGGCUGAGGUGACAAAAGCAUUUUCAAGAAGUUUAUAUCCCACUUCGAACAUCUUCCACCAAUACAUUGUUGGCGUCAAGCUUGCAAUCAAACAUGCAAUGACUAGUGAUAGUGACCACUACAAGGAAAUGGGUGAAGCAUUGUUGGAGAAGUUUGACAGAUAUUGGGAAGAAAAGAACAAUGCCAUGGUGAUCGCAACCAUCUUUAAUCCACGGUACAAGAUGAGUUACAUAGAGUGGGCCUUUGGAGAACUAUAUGGAGAAGGAAGUGCGAGGUUUAGGACUGAGAUAAAAAUCGUGGAGAAAGAGUUGGCGGCCUUGUAUGAAAAAUGUGUUGCUCAAGAUAAGCAAGCUGGAAAUGGAGAAAGUUCAUCUUCCUUUGCAAACAUUCCUAGUAUCCCAGUUCAAGCUGGGUACGAGUCCUUCUUAUCGUCCCGUUCAACAAGAAUAUCAAAGAGUGAGUUGAGGAACUACUUAGAGGAUGAGGUUGCCCAUCGCAACAAGGCUCUUGAUCUUCUUGGUUGGUGGAAAGACAAUGCUCCUAGUUUGUCAACUUGUGUUGUAUUAGAUGACUACAGGAGUUCGUUAAAACCGGUUAUGGUGGAGGCAUUAGUUUGUGGUGCAAGUUAUAUCAAGGGUGCUCACGUUGACUUGAAUCUGGUGCCGAGGGAUGAGAAUGAAGAGGAUGAUGUUGAGAACAUCAAGUUACCAAUUUUGGUGGAGGAGAUCAACGAUUGGUAA